AGAUUCAAGAGUAAACCUGAUGAUGACUUUGAAGAUCCCAAAGAUAUUCAGGCCAUCAAAGAGGCCCAGGUGCAUAUGGGAGACUUCAAUCUGAAGACAGCCCCAGACUACAAGAUACCUGAGCACAUGAGAAUAAAUGCUGCCAAGAAGGAAGAGGAACUAGGAAUCCUGGAUACUAUGGUCCAUGGAAAGAAAAUGCACAUGAACAAAUGUAUCCUUGCUCUUCGAGACCUUAAAGUCGCUGUUAUUGAAGAAAUACAAUGCCUUGUACAAGAACUGAAGAACAUUCAGUCAACUCUUCACAUAUCCAAACACAUCCGCAUUCCCCAAAUCCCUCAGAUACUCCCCGAAGAAGUUCCUGAGAAGAGAUUUCACUAUGACGAAAGAACUCUACUAGACUUUAAGCAACAGGAGAUGAAAAGGCAGGAUGAAAAGUCCCUUCCAAUGGCAAGCUAUGAAGGCCCUGGUGGGAGAUUCCAAAAACCCUUUCAUGGAAAGGAUGGAGAUUUAAUGUCACGAGAUUCAGUGACUAGAUCAUCAAAGGCAUCAACAUACAGCAUAGAUAUUCCAAAGUUAACAGAAUUUGAAAAGACAGAGCCAACAGAUGUGGAACUGGAGAUAAUAAAGAGGGAUGAGAUUAAACACUUGUAUAUGCAAAAGUAUUUGAUCAACAGGGUAAGGGAUGGGACUGUUCCUAAUUAAUGCUG
rnacentral:lncRNA from 1 species